GGCAACAGCGCAGCGGUUGAAUACUCGCUUUACAAGCGAUAGGUCGGUGGUUCAAUUCCACCAGGGCGUCU